UACGUAGGGACCGAGCGUUGUCCGGAAUCAUUGGGCGUAAAGAGCGUGUAGGCGGCCAGAUAGGUCUGUUGUGAAAACUCGAGGCUCAACCUCGAGACGCCGAUGGAAACCAUCUGGCUAGAGUCCGGAAGAGGAGAGUGGAAUUCCUGGUGUAGCGGUGAAAUGCACAGAUAUCAGGAAGAACACCCGUGGCUAAGGCGGCUCUCUAGUACGGUACUGACGCUGAGACGCGAAAGCGUGGGGAGCGAACAGG
rnacentral:rRNA from 1 species